GAAAACAUAAAAGGGGCUGAGGCUAAGGCUGGAGACAGUUUCUGGGCGUUCACAGGAAAUCUCAUGGACAUAGGAGAUUGGUGGGCUGCAGUCCAUGGGCUCACAUGAAGACAACAUGAAGAUAAUGGUGACCUCCUUCAAAAGGACUUCUGCAUGCUUUCCUGUAUUCAGUGCCCUUGACCCUGUGGCAGGCCAUUGUCGACCCAUGCCUCCACUGCAGACUCCUGGACACUCACAGGCAAGUCUGGCUCAGUCUCUUUUGGGGACACUGCUCCUGUCUCCUGGCUCCUGGUGCUCAUGAGGUUUAGUUUGUGCCCCCUAAGAGGCUGUUUUCCCAGUCCUGUGUACCUUCUGUAAUCAAAUCCCACUGGCUCUCAAAGUCAAAUUCCC
ensembl:lncRNA